GACCAGGGCCAGGGCUGUGGCGACCAAGGAGGGCAUUCUUCAGCGGGCUUUUGGUUCAUAAGACGAUGUCCUCUCCCGGCAGAAAGUCAGCUGACAGUUUCCUGGUUACAGUGGGAUGCCAAGGGAGCUGCCACCAAGUGAGAAUGCUGGAUGUUAGAAGCAAAACCUUGAACAACCUUGGCAUUUGGCGGAGAACCAAUACAGACGGGCAUGCCAGAGUUGCGUGCUCAUAACAGCCCUUCGCUCCCAAUAGCCCUUCAUUCCCGGAAAAGAGCCUGAGGAGGUACCAUUACCUUAUGCUGCACUUACAGUGACUGGCUGUACCUGCUGGCGCUUCCUGGAAAAUGAAAAAUACGCGUUUUGGUGAUAUUCUUUAAUGGACACAGAUACAAUGCUUGCAGCAGCUGUGCCCCAAACUCCAUGUUAGCAGGCAGCUGACCCAUAACGUAUGAAGUCAAAAGAGAAAAACCAAGAGACACUUCCAUAGACCUUAUAAGGACAUUUGCAAACGUUUACUAGUUCUGGGAAGACAAAAAAAAAAAAAAAAAAGAAGAGGUGCUUGUGGAACAAGCUGGAGAAGACAAGUGCGAACAAAUACAUGACAGAGCACCGAUAUGCAGGAACAGCUCCUCUGAGACUGGGAGGGAGUGUAAGAAGGAUGUGAUAGUUACAAAAAAAUCCAUCGCUACCAGUUCUAGCUUUUACAUAAAUCAUAGGAUACUGAAGUGUACUCCUACGGUGAUUCCCCCUCCACAUGCUACCUUCCCUUCUCUGCCAUUUCAUCUCCCAAGAACACCGUAACAUUCCCAGUGCACUGUACAAACUUUGCAAACAUGUACAGCUUUCCUAUGUGAAAGCUUAGGAAGUCACAGUUCCGUUAAAGGCCCUGAAAUUCUGCAUCUACCCGAGUUCACGUGUGUUUACGGGCGUUUUCGGGAAGCGUUUUGA